rnacentral:rRNA from 1 species
UACGUAGGGGGCUAGCGUUGUCCGGAAUCAUCGGGCGUAAAGCGCGCGUAGGCGGCCCAGUAAGUCCGUUGUAAAAGUCAAAGGCUCAACCUUUGAAAGCCGAUGGAUACUGCCGGGCUAGAGUCCGGAAGAGGUGAGUGGAAUUCCUGGUGUAGCGGUGAAAUGACGCAGAUAUCAGGAGGAACACCGAUGGCGAAGGCAGCUCACUGGGACGGUACUGACGCUGAGACGCGAAAGCGUGGGGAGCAAACAGG